GCCUGCUUAGCUCAAAUGGUUAGAGCACCACGAUCACAUACAGUUCUCUCACGCGAUGAUGAUCUCGGAGACACCGGUUCGAAUCCCGUAGUAGGCG